CACCAGGGUCCAGGCGUUAGGACCGGUGAAGGGGGGUGGGGGCGGGGUUGCCAGGUGCGGAGCUCCUGCCUCAUAAAGGUGGGUCUCGACGUCACAGGGAGGCAGACAUCAUCGCGGGGUUGGUCUCGCCCAGGCUCAGUUCUGUUCAGCUCACGACUCCUUCAGUACCCCACUCCGAGGGCUGGGAGUGAAUAUCUGGAGUUCGAGACAUGCCAGGGGUCCAGACCAACGUCCCGCGGAGAUUCAGACGCCGGAAGAGGGGCCGAAAGCGGUCACGAAUCAUCUUACCCGAGAACCCUGGACCCGCGCCCAAGGUAUGUCGGGUUUUGUCACCUCAAAGGACAAGGGUUGUUCCUGAACCUUCAGAAACGAGCCUCACGGACAUCACUAAGAUUGUAUCUCUGCUGCAAAUAUCAUGAAGACAAAGAGCAUGAGGCCAGAAGUAAAACCAAUUGUCCAUAAAAAUGAUGCCACAUGUACAUGAUAACACCUUUGCCAGGAACUCUACAACAGCUUCAGUGAUGGAAGGUUAAACCAGCUACCUAUUAUUGAAAAGACUGGAAGCAUAAAUCUAAAACACUGUGGCAUGCAUUAAAACUCACUCCAACCUGA